GUGUCCACAGCCCACCUCUGCGCUGUCUGCAGAGAGUUGAAACUAACUCACCUCCGUCCGGGUUCGUUUAAAAUGUUGGAAGUCCAGAGCCAAGUGGAUCCUGAGGACGAAUCUCAGGCACCCGCGGCAGCAUCCCUUCCCAAAUGCGUCCCUAGCGCCUGCGACGUUUCCGGCUGCACCGCACUCUUCUGUCUGAUGAGCCGAAAGGCGUGGUGUCCUCGAGGGUGAUGCUUACCUCCCAGAUGGUGACCGUGAACGCUCAUCCAGACGUUUACAACCAGGUUACGGCACGCAGGCCUGGGUUACUUCAGUGCACAUCGUUGCACAUGACUUUCUGAGUGCUAGAAAUCUUUUAUGAAAAAAUCCAUAAAGUCAGGCGAAACUCCCAAAUGUAUGCAAUUACUCAUUCAGCAAAGAUUUAUUUGCCAGGCACUGUGUGGUUGGUCCCUGUGGCUAAAACAGAGAACCACUCUCACACAUGCUACCUCCUGGUAAAGGAAGGAUUCAUAGGCCUUGUGAGUGUAGACUCCGCCCCCCACCAUCCCUGCACGGUGCCCUCCUUCUGAUGUCCAGUUGGGGUCAAGUUCACAUGACCCAACUCUGACUUUUCCCAAUGUUUUGUAACACCUCCAGGCUUGCCUGUCCUCUGCAGCGUGAGAUGUAGAAUGGUAGCUCAAAUAAAGAUCUAUACUUUUUCAGCAUGGAUUAAAGACAGCUUACUCUACAGCAAUCUCUGGUACAUUCUCAUUGUUCCUAGUUUUCUCAGUUUCCAGGACAUAUCACACCCCUCAUUUUCUUUGUCCACCUUCACUAGAUACUGCUCAGAGCCCCGCACCAUCUUGAACGUUGCCUUUACUAAGGGACCUAACCCUGUGUCUUCCAUGGUGCCCUGUCUGCUCACAUAAGCUCCUGAUCUCUUUUCACAGUUUACAUCUUUGCAUCCACAUCUCCACUGAGCUCCAGACGAGCAGAAAGGAUGUGAUGGACAGUCCCGCACGGACUUGUAAUGAUAAUGCUCACUGUGCAUCCAAGGGGUGAUUCCAACGGGCCAUUGUGUGUGUACGGGUCUAAAACAGAACUAGUGUUUUUUGCCAGACAGAGCGCCUCCCCUAACCCCCCCCCCCCACAGCCUGGCCGCUCAGCCCCCAUCUCUGCCUAGUUCAUUGCCCCGCAGGUCUAGAGCACUCACCACUCUCUGAAAUAAGCUAGCAAUCUUGUUCAGUGUCUCUCCCCCACCCAGUAGGAGAGGAGAAUCCCUGUCUUUUGUGUGCACACCCAGUGCCUCAGCUGUGCCUGGCUGGAACUCGGUGCCCCACAGACAUUCGCUGGCUUAGUCAAUGAACGAUGGAGCAAAUGAAUCAUGAACUCUUCUCCCCAUAAUUUGGGUCUUCCCAGCACUGGCCAACUUGGGAAAUACUAUCCUCUUCAAAAUUUCUACUCGCUGUAUCUCUGCCAAGGACAGUUAGCUCUCUGGGGGGCUAAAUUGUCAGCCUGGGCUGAGGUAUGGUUGUGUGGACAGCGGGCACUGAGUAGAUUCACGUCACCUGGCGGCCCGGGGGUUAGUGUCUUCUCCGUCUUUGAUAAAUGGCUUCACUGCAAAUGUUUUUAAUCAUACUCACACUUAGUUGAAAUUUUGUGGCAAGAAGUACUUUAAGGAAAUAUGAAUUUUUUAAAUUUGGAUUUUACGUGCAAAGAUACGAUUAUUUCUGGAUAUAUUUUCAAGAUUAAAUGAGUAAACAUAGAGUUGUUUCUUGAACUUCUGUAAUCAUAUAGGCUAUAGUCACAUGUCCUCUUCCUGAAGAGGAAAACCAGGAAGCUGAAUCCUCACUUUGUGUUAACAAGAGAAGAUAUAGCAGGAAAUCUCUAAAAGUUCCCACAUAUGUAUGUGUAUGUAAGAUAGAUACAUACACACACACACCCAGACACACACACAUCUAUCACCUAUCUUCCUAUCUGUCUGUCUACCUACCUAUCUAUCUACGGUUUUCGAUCUCUUGAUUUUCUUUGUCCAUUCCAUCUCUUUUUGUUGGAAAACAUCGGGGUUAAAAAAACUUCAAACCUAAAAUUCUUCAGGGUGAGUGAACAGAAGGAACAUAUUACUCCGAGCUGCUUUUUUUUUAUUGAAGUAUAGUUGACUUACAAUGUUGUGCUAAUUUCUGCUGUAUAGCAAAGUGAUUCAGUUAUACAUAUGUAUACAUUCUUUUUUAAUCUUCUUUUUCAUUAUGGUUUAUCACAGGAUAUUGAAUAUAGUUUCCAGUGCUAUACAGUAGGACCUUGUUGUUUAUCCAUCCUCUAUUUAUAUUAAUAAUAGCUUACAUCUGCUAACCCCUACUCUCUCUCCAUGCCUCCACCAACCCUGAGCUACUUUUAAUAAGCUUGAACACAGCUCUAAUACAGCCUAGAGAUUUAAACACAAGCGUGAGCACCGAUGUGUCCUUUCCGUCUGCAGUCCUCUGGUCCCCUGCAGCGCUAAGCAAGCCAGCAAGUCUCUCUGUGCCGCCUUCUCUUCUGUGUAAAACGUACGUCGUUUUAAGAGUUCAGUAACCUGGCCUUCUGAAGCACUGCAGAUGCCUCAAUCAUCGAAGUCAACUGAAGAAAAAUAAGCCUAAACUUCGCGUUUAUUCCCCUGAAUGACUCCCUUAUGCAAAUUCUUCACUAGGUGAGAGAGAAAACGUUUCUUCCAGCCGGUCGACACCAACUGGGAUUGGAGUCUGCCUCCAUAAUCAUGAUUAUUAAUAAACAUUCUUUAGUGCAUGUUUGCAUUUGCUGGCAAGGUUGUCAGUGAUCCAUGCUUGAGGCAGAAGGACACCCGUUUGAUUCUAAAUAGGCCUUUUGGCAAAGGAAGAGGGAAACUUUACUUUUUUCAAGUGAGGCUAGAAAUGACUCAGAUUGAGAGUAGCUGCUCUCCAGGCAACAGAAGGUCACUCCGUCCUCUCACGUUUCCUUCCCCAGUUGUCUGGAACGAGGUCCAAGCCGUUCUUCCUUCUCCCUUCCUUCUCCUGUCCCCCUCACGGCCUUCUUCACGUGCUGCACUGUGGUGUGUGUGUGUGUGUGGUCCAGGCCGAUGCAGAUGGAUGCCUCUAGAACAGACCACAGUGGAAGCGGUCUUGCACCAUUGUCCUGUCCACUAGAAGGCAUCGAAUGGUACAUGGGAGAAACCAGUGUUUCUUAACAUUUAGCCUAGUUCUACAUCUUGAAAGACGAGUUGCAUAGAAGGGCGCAGCUAACCUACCAGGGGGUGC
ensembl:lncRNA